rnacentral:rRNA from 1 species
GUGGGAAAGGGGGAGUAAUGUAUCGGAACGUGCCCAGUAGCGGGGAUAACUACGCGAAAGCGUGGCUAAUACCGCAUACGCCAUACGGGGAAAAGGGGGGGAUCUUAGGACCUCUCACUAUUGGAGCGGCCGAUAUCGGAUUAGCUAGUUGGUGGGGUAAAGGCAUACCAAGGCGACGAUCCGUAGCUGGUUUGAGAGGACGACCAGCCACACUGGGACUGAGACACGGCCCAGACUCCUACGGGAGGCAGCAGUGGGGAAUUUUGGACAAUGGGGGAAACCCUGAUCCAGCCAUCCCGCGUGUGCGAUGAAGGCCUUCGGGUUGUAAAGCACUUUUGUCAGGGAAGAAAAGGUUUCGGAUAAUACCCGGAACUGAUGACGGUACCUGAAGAAUAAGCACCGGCUAACUACGUGCCAGCAGCCGCGGUAAUACGUAGGGUGCAAGCGUUAAUCGGAAUUACUGGGCGUAAAGCGUGCGCAGGCGGUUCGGAAAGAAAGAUGUGAAAUCCCAGGGCUCAACCUUGGAACUGCAUUUUUAACUACCGAACUAGAGUAUGUUCAGA